CUAUACUACAGGGCUACAGUAACCAAAACAGCAUGGUACUAGUACAAGAACAGACACAUAGACAAAUGGAACAAAUAGAAGGCCCAGAAAUAAGAUCGCAAGCCUACAACUAUCUGAUCUUCCACAAACCUGAACUAAAGAGCUUCUGCACAGUGAAAGAAACUAUUAACAGACAACCUACGGAAUGGGAGAAAAUUUUUGCAAACUAUGCAUCUGACAAAGAUCUAAGGAAUAAAGAAUUUUAGCAAAUUUAAAUAAGGAAUUUAAGCAAAUUUACAAGAAAAAAACAAACAACCCCAUUAAAAAUUUGGCAAAGGACAUGAACAGACACUUUCAAAAUUUUUAAGCUCCAGGAUACAUGUGCAGGCUCUCUCAGGUACACGGUAUGGUGCUAAGUAUAUGCUUUUAAAAAGCCUAAGAGGAGGGGGCACCCAGAAGGGGCCCUGAAGCCAAGGGCAAGGUCCAGCCUUUCCACCUCCCCAGCUGAAGACGUGCUGGAGGACAAUUCUCCAAAGUUU
rnacentral:lncRNA from 1 species